rnacentral:lncRNA from 1 species
UAAAAUUACGUUUGUUAAAGUACAGACUCAUUUACGGACUUGCUCUGUUCUUCCAGGCCAGUUGGGUCCAGCAGCUUUGCCUCUCUACCCUUUUAUCACCAAGGUAUACUGCUGAGAAAGAAUCAAAUGAAAAGAAAAAAGACUCAACAAGACCUCACUCAUAUUAACUGGACUCUACAAGCAGUGAGCAUCCAGACCUGCAUUUGGUUACAA